UCGAGUGCUCUGUAAAUCCUUCAGAGCUCGAACUUCCUCAUCCAACCCUUCUAGGGUUUUUCGAAUGGCCACCGAGCCUCCUUCUUCAUCCUCUAAUGGCGAUUCAUCCUCGGUUCCCACUUCUUCUGCCAUCGAUUUUCUCUCUCUCUGUCACCGUUUCAAGAUGACGAAGAGAACGGGAUGGAUGCGAAGGUGUUGAGAAUCCAGAGUCCAUAGCCGAUCAUAUGUAUCGAAUGGGGUUGAUGGCUCUCAUUGCCUCUGACAGACUUCUCUCUGACAUCUCUAACAGGGCAUGGUAUGUGUAGAUGAAGUGUAGAGAUGCAAAGUUGGGAAUAAAUUUGCAGCUCAUGUGCUUCUCCUCUCUAACAGGGCAUGGUAUUUGGAUUGCUCUAAAACAAUUCGGUUUCAAAGCAUUUCGGUUUCAGAGCUCUCUGUAUACACUGCUUCCAUAGAUCGAAACGGUGGUCUCGCCAUUGAUCAACAUCAAGCUCCGUGACUGUCCACCCUCCCUCGGCUCCCACCGUCCCAAAAUGAGAGGCACCCACACUCCUCACAACCAUCUUUGCUCCUCCCUCCUUAGCGAUCCUUUGUCGACAUCUUGAUCGCAACAACUGUAGCAACCCCAGUCCCCAUCUCAACCGCCGCACAGCUACCAUCUUAGCCUCAUGCAACAU